GUGCUGUGCUUGUUGUGGGCAAAUCCAGUGGAUAUGCGUAUCAAUACCGCCGGCGGUUGCAAUUAAAUGUGCACCGUUAUGCACCUCCGUGCUUGCGCCGAUAAUCAUAUUCGGGGUGACAUUGUCCAUUGUGUCAGGGUUACCCGCUUGACCAAUGCCGACAAUACGACCAUCACGAAUACCAAUAUCCGCUUUAAUAAUGCCGAGUUUAGCGUCAAUAAUCAUCACGUUGGUUAAAGCAAAAUCUAACACGUUUGGAUUAUCACGGGUUGCCGUGCCUGAUUGCGCCAUACCAUCACGCAC
rfam:Actinobacillus minor NM305 Contig_40, whole genome shotgun sequence.